AAUCUUGGACAAUGGGGGCAACCCUGAUCCAGCCAUGCCGCGUGAGUGAUGAAGGCCUUAGGGUCGUAAAGCUCUUUCGCCUGUGAAGAUAAUGACGGUAGCAGGUAAAGAAACCCCGGCUAACUCCGUGCCAGCAGCCGCGGUAAUACGGAGGGGGUUAGCGUUGUUCGGAAUUACUGGGCGUAAAGCGCACGUAGGCGGACUGGAAAGUUGGGGGUGAAAUCCCAGGGCUCAACCCUGGAACUGCCUCCAAAACUAUCAGUCUAGAGUUCGAGAGAGGUGAGUGGAAUUCCGAGUGUAGAGGUGAAAUUCGUAGAUAUUCGGAGGAACACCAGUAGCGAAGGCGGCUCACUGGCUCGAUACUGACGCUGAGGUGCGAAAGUGUGGGGAGCAAACAGGAUUAGAUACCCUGGUAGUCCACACCGUA
rnacentral:rRNA from 1 species